GGUCAGGGGAGGAGAG
rnacentral:rRNA from 1 species